CAGAGGGGAAGCUGGGUCUGAGUUUAUCAGAAGGGUGUUCCCUUCCCUUCCAGCUUCCCAGGCAGGAAGGGCAGACAAGAGGGUUUUGUUACUCUGCCCUCUGAACUGGUUUAAGAUUCGCAUGUAGGUUUUGGAAGUAGCCCCUGAGGGAAGGGAUGGGAAAUGGUUUGCAGUUAGGAUUAUUUUUUUUCCUGCCCUGGCUAGUGAACAUUCGGAAUGGCCUCUUUGGCAUAUCUUUCCAAGUUACGACUGCCUGUGGAAGUGAGAAGGUUCCCUGAGCUCAGCUGAGAGGCGGUGAGGGAACUGAACUGGCAGUUUUGCCAGACUACUGGCAGUGAAUACGGUAUAGGAUAGAAUAUUCUGUAUGUGGAGUAUUCUGUAUCAUUGGUAUAGAAUAGAAUAAAGGUUUCAAUUUGUAUGACUAAGCUGUAAAUUCAUCCAGAAGACGGAUUCCAUUCUGCUUUUCCUUUACUACUGUGAAAGGAAGGAACCUUUGGUAGAGCUAAAUGGGUAGCAUGUAACCAGACAGAUAAUGUGGAGUGACUUCUAGCCUGAAAGUCAGUUUUGAUUCUUGAAGUUUUUGUUGUCUCUGUAUAUAUCUGGAGUGUGGUAUGACUUUGUUGCCCUUUACAAUGCAAAUCAUCAGAGAGGAACCACGUGUAAUUUAUUUAUCAGCACAAACAGGGUCAAUACAUUGACUUCUGUAAUAGAUACAGGGUAACAAUACUGGGAAAGGAAACACAGGGAAGCAGUACAUGUUGCUCAAGUAAAGACAGUGUCCUGUGAUAUUGUCUUCAAAUUGAUAUCAGAAUAAUCAUUUAUGGUAUUUCUCAUGAUUUUCCUGUGUCUCCAUGAAUUAACUGACACAUCUCUGUGAUGCUGUGAUCCCUGAGUCCCUCUAGCAACCUAUGAAUUCUGUUUUGGAAUGGAGUCUGAAUGCUGAGAAGUCUUCAACAUGAAGAAACAACGGCAGUACUAGCAGCGGUUGGAAAAUGUCAGCUUGACAGCAAAUAUGAAGCUGAAAUUCCCAUGUCUUCCUUCCUUGAUGUGCCAUUACUGGGGGCGCUAAGAUACUACAAGAGAUACUGGAUGUGAUAAGCAGAAGUCUAAGCUACCUGCUCCUUUUUGCAAGUGCUGAUAACUCCUGUCUUUUGACUGAAGUACAGUGUGAGUAACUGUAUUCUUCCUACCUAAAAUUCAUCUACAGUUUCAACUGAACGUGUUCUUCAUAGCCGCAGUUACCCUGUGCGGUCUACGAGUUACCAAAUGACAAGUGCCCACUCGUCCGUUCUUAUGCUGUUUCAGAUGACCAACAGUCUUGGAGGAAGAGGGUUUCAGGGGUGAGGAGAGAGGGAAACUUUGUUCCUGGAAAUUUAGUCUGUAGGGCUGUUCUGCACAGCUCUUAAUAGAGCCCAAGACACAUCUUCACUGCAGUGAGAAAAAAAUACAGUGAUUGUCACGUGAUCAGUUGUCAUGAGAAAAGAAAGUUACUUGACCUAGGGUCUCAUCAGAAUUCAUCAUACAGCAGUUUUAUUGUUUUUUGUUUCUUUGUUUUGGUUUGGUUUUUGUGUGUGUGUGUUUUUUUGUUCCUCCUGCUUGAGCUUUGUACUCUCAAGUCCUUGCAAAGACAAGUUUGGUUUUUUUCUUCACUACAUCAAAAAUGUUUAUUUUCCAUUUUAAGAUGAUUCUUUUUUCUAUAUCUGGCUGGUGUCUUCAUCUAAAUAAAGAAGUCAGGAAAGCAAGGUAGGGAAUAAAUAGUGCCUCUAGGAAGAGAUGUUCAAGCAAUUGUAUCACUGUUUUCAUAUUUGGGAGACCAGAGUGUAAGUCCAUUAUCUCAGGAGCAUUCAUAUAGUAGGUAGGUGUUUUCACCUUUCUGCACUUCAGCUCCUCAGUUCUGCAGUAAGGCUAAUAGUAACAUGUAGCAAGGCAGUGCUGUAGUGUAUACCAGCUCACUGUGGUUUGAGUAUAUCCAUUGGGUGGGAAUAUUUGUAGCCCUGGUGCUUCAUCAGUAUUGCUUUAGGGCAUUGGACUGUGGUUCUAGCAAAAGCUAUGCCACUUCACUCAAUGAACUCUCAGCUGUUGAGAGGGGGAGACCAAAGCCAUUGCUUUGGUAGUUUUUUCAACAGACUAAUGAAGGAGUUAGUGAGUAUUUUGCACAGAGUGGUGGGGUGUUCUUGUUUGUUUAUUUUUGCUUGUUAUUCCCCCUCCUCCACAAAAAAUACUAGAGAUCACUUGCAUGCAUAUGCACAGUGGGAGAGGAUGCCCAACUGAGAUGCAAGCACAAAUGAAAAAACUUGCAAAGUUCAAAACUGACACAAUCCCAAGGUCUUCCUACUAGGAAAAAAAAAGAAAAAAAAAAAGUUCCUUUAUUUUUUCCUUAACUGAAGAAAAGAUAUGCUUCAUCUUCCUUUUUAAAAGUGCAUGCGUUUAAAUCAGUACUCCGAUUAUGGGGAAGGAAGAGAGGGGUAUUCCAGUUCCCAAAGCCUGUUUUUAAUCAUCAGAUUACUUUUGAGACAAUCUCUGUACAUUCAGCACUUGUGGUCAGUUCUCACCACCAAAAAGCUAGUGGUUUUUGCAGACAUUCCAUAAACACAGGAAGCUUUGACUGUGUCUCUAACAGAUAGGGAGACAGAAAAGCAAAAUACCCACAAUAUAAAGGCAAAAUCUAAACCUGACAUGCGAGCUCAGAACAAUGACUUAUGUAGUCCAGAAGUCUAUCUCUCAUAGUCUGAGCCAGAUGUUUCGAAAAGAAUGCCGAAAAUCUGUGAAGUACAAUUCUGACAUAACCUGCCUAUGGUUUAGAUUUCUUUUUAAUUGCUGACUUCCUCCCUGAACCAUGGAGCUUUAUAUUCUGUUUUAGUCUUUGUUUUGCAUUUGUUUCUUGGAAGGAGGGAAAGGGGCAAUGUAGAAGGCUGCAAAUGUGCUGUGCAAAAUUCCCUUGGUGUUUUGGAUGCCUGAUGAUCUCAUAGCCAUUCGGUCCUAAUUUGUAUCUGCAGAAGUCUUAGCCUUAAUUAUACCUGCAGCAGUACUUUCAUGGAUUAAACAUAUUUCAUCCAAGAUUUCUGUUCAUCCAUUCUAGGAAUUCUGUCCACCAACUCCCUAUGGAAUGUCUCAUUUUUCUUUUAACAUGGGAAUAGCCAAAAAGAAAUUCAUGUCUUUUUCCUGCAGCAUUUAUUGUUUUUGUAGAGUCUAAUUGUUGUUAAUCUCCUUUCUAAAAUAAGCAUUUAUGUUCCUUUCAUCUAUGCCUUUUUUCAAAGAGAAGUCUUUCCUUCAGCCAGUUCCCUCACUAGUCUCCCUCCUCAACUUUGCUUUUGCCUACUUGCUGCCUAGAACUGAAGCCAGUAACACAGGCGAAGGUAGUCCUUUCACUUUAGAAUAGCAUUUUAAUUUUAUAAUUAUUUUUUUCCACUUGAGUGUUAACCUUUUUGACCUUAUCAGCUGAAUGAAUAGAGACUUAACAGAGCUGCCUGCAAUUAGCUCACCUCUUGCUCAUGAGCAGUUAUACUUAGUUAUGAAUAACUGAAAUUCAGAACAUUCUUUGCAAGGUACAUUACUUCACUCUAAAAAGUAAAGAAUUUGCUGGAUGUUAAUGUGCCCAUUUUACUCAUUUCUACACAGUUAAAAUUACAGGAGAGAGCAUGUAACUGGUAAAUCCCUCUCAAUUUCUGAUGAUUUUUAUGAAUAUAAUCACUGCUGAAGUAGCUGAAUCUAAGAGCUUUUAAUCAUACACUUCAAAUUUAGGAUUAUGAAUCACAAUAAUUUUACAAUAAAUUAAUUAGAACCAAUAUUCUUUUGACAUGCUUCCUCAUUUUUGAAUACAAUUUUUUAAAACCUGUGGUUUAAUAUGAUAUCUUACUUCACAAUCAAACUGAAAUACAGUGUCAUCAUCAUCAGUUUGUUUGUCAACAGGAACUCCAUUCCAGAAUUUCUUGUUCGGACGGAGGAAAAAACAAACAAACAAAGCGACAAAUUGGACCCAAGAAUACAGAUUCUGAAAGUUUCUGCAAAUUGAAAAAAAAAAUAAAUAAAAAAAAAAAAUAAACAGUGAGGUUUUUACAUGAUACUGUAAAAUAUUGAUAGUCUUAAAAUAGCAAUCCAAAACAAGAAGACAACAGUUUCACUCAAACAUUUAAAAAUAAGUAUUUUGGUAGAAAUAAAUAUAUCCCUGCAAAACUUUCAGAUGUUAAUCUUGCAGUAAACUGCCAAAAGUUUCAGUUACAACUCCACCAAGAGAGGGGUGCUUAAUUUUCUUUUUCUUUCUGUCUUUCUGUCUGUCUUUCUGUCUGUCUGUCUGUCUUCUAAAAAAAAGUCCUAACUGCUGUCUGCUAACAAAAAUCAAGUAGCAUACAUUCUAUGGCACUAUACAGUUAGGAAUUAUAAGAUCUAAGCAAUUGCAUCUCUAAUCCUAAUUGCAUCAUCUAUUGCUUAUGUUCAUAAAAAUCAGGGUGUUGUUUUUGGGGUCCUGCUGGAAAUAAUUUAACAUAAUUUGGUCAAACUGUCCAUUGAAAUUUCAGCCAGUUUCCACUCAAAAUCUUCCUUCAGUGUAUCCUUGCCUGGUCCUGGUCCUGCUUCCUCUUAUCAGUUUAGCCAGAAAUCUGGAAAUUCCUACCCCCAUGAGUAAUGCACAAGGCUGUAAUUUCUCUCUGCAUCUCCUCCUCCUAUGGGUCUGCUUUGAAAGGAGCUAAUAAUUAAAAGGAAAAGACUCUUGGCCCUUGUCAUGGUUUUAUUAAACUUGCUUACGUGGUGGUUUUAAUUAA